rnacentral:rRNA from 1 species
CGCAUCUGUGCAUGCAGCAUAUCAAUAAGCGGAGGAAAAGAAACUAACAAGGAUUCCCUUAGUAACGGCGAGUGAAGCGGGAAGAGCUCAAAUUUGAAAUCUUCAAGGUUUUACCUUGACGAAUUGUAGUUUAAAGAAGUGUUUUCUGUUGAAGUUUUGGUAAAAGUUCUUUGGAAUAGGACAUCAUAGAGGGUGAGAAUCCCGUAUUUGACCAUUAUUUUCAGCUGUGUGAUACACUUUCAAAGAGUCGGAUUGUUUGGGAAUGCAGUCCAAAAUGGGUGGUAAAUUUCAUCUAAAGCUAAAUAUUGGCGAGAGACCGAUAGCGAACAAGUACCGUGAGGGAAAGAUGAAAAGAACUUUGAAAAGAGAGUUAAACAGUACGUGAAAUUGUCAAAAGGGAAGCGUUUGACACCAGUGUUGUUUUCUCGAAAAUCAAUUAAAAAGAGUUAGAUUUUGUUGUGUAUUGACCUUAACAGCAUUGCAUUUCAAUUUUCUUGCUUUUUUUGAUGCACUUUUCGUUUAACAAGUCAACAUCAGUUUCUUUUGUUGUAAAAAGGUCAUUGGAAGGUGGCUUUCUUUUCGGAGAAAGUGUUUAUAGCCUUUGACUCCUGCAAUCGGAGAGACUGAGGUCUGCAGCGUAGAUCCUUCGGGGUUAGAUACAUUUGUGCUAAGUUAUAGCUUUUUAUAGACAACUUGUUGACUAUGAUUAGUCUUGUAGCUUACUCGCUUAUGCUAUUUUACCUACGCUUAGGAUGUUGAUGUGAUACUGCGAGCA